ensembl:lncRNA
GGUUGUUUCUAUGAGAUCUACACAUUCAGAGAACUUCCAUCCUCACCACAAGAAGGGGACCAUCAUGUCUGCUGAUAACACCAUGAUCUUUCAAGAAAGAGAAGAGGACGUUUUGGAGGCAGUUAUUCCUCAUUUAAAACAAGGAUUAUGUCAUUUCAGAGAUUUGGCAGAAAUGUUAUUGAACUUUGAUGAAGCUCAAAUCAUAACCCUAAAACAUGCAAUUCAGAAAGGGCUGGAUAUGUUUCAGCUAUGCGAAGCUGUAGCUGAUCAACAACUAAGAGAAAUAGACAAGUAUUUUGAGGAACUCACAAAUAAGAUUGGAAUGCUUGAGUCUGAGGAACGUCGUUUAAAACCACAAUUAGACAAUCUGGAGAAUCAAUUGAAAGAAAUCAACGACUCCUUGCAGAAUUACAGUGAUGCCUUAAAGAAAGCUGAGUGUGACGUGAGUUCCUCCAAGAAUGCUCUGGAUGAAUGCAGGUCCAGGGAAACAUACAAUGAAACCAUAAGGAAUGUUGGAAUAGGGGUUAUGUUUAUUCCCUUUCUCGGCCUCAUCGCAGGGUCAGUGAUGAUUGGUGUCGGACAAACAGAGCUAAACAGAGCUACAUUUGAGGCACAGCAAGCAGAAGAGGUAAUGAACAAUUUCCAGAAACAAGUUGAUUCCUUCACCUCAGAGGUAACUGCAAAAAAGCAAGAGAAGAGUGAACUAAAUGAAAUGAUUGAAGAAUGUCAACGUAACAUCUGGAAGACAAAGGAGAGUCUUAAAGAGGUGAAGAGUAAACAGUUACAAAUAUCUGAUUAUCAAGGGAUGUUUAGGAAGGCUGUUCACUUUCUAGGUCUUUUAGCUGGAAAAGCUAGUGUUGCAAUGGUUGAGAGCACUCAAGUCAUCGUCCUUCUGGAACCAGUGUGUAAUGUGAUGGCAGAUAUUGUGAGCCUUUUUAUAAAAACUGAAGCAGAAAAUAAUCUGUUUCUGCAGGACAACGAUUUAAAAACUUCCAUCCAGAGCCUGCAUGAUAUCAAUCAGCGAGUUUCAGCUAUUACUGGAAAACCAGAAAAUCCUUUCUUUUAACACUAGAACUGCCGGGCCUUUCAGACCCCCAGAAUCCACCAGAACCAAACACUGUUUGGUGUCAUUAGCAUACGAAAUACUAUUUGCAUAUACAUUCUCCUCUGCAGCUUCACUAUCCAGACAGGGCACCAGUUCAUCUACUGGGUCAUUAUCAAACUAUAGACAAUAGUCUAAAAAAAUUAUGAUUUACAGGAUCUGUUUAAAGUGGUUAAUGAAUUUGAAGAAUACAAGAACGUGUUUGUCUCAUCAUAUAAAAAAAUAAAUAAUAAAACUAUAUAAAGAACACCGACUACAGUCUUUUUAAAUUAGUUUUAGGCCCUACAAAUGUAGAAAAUGAAAAUUUCACAACCAAUCUAUAGGUGACAUGAAUAAGUUAUUGAAAAACCAAGAAGAGUUAUUAGAAAAAGAUUAGGCCCAUUUCUUCAAAUAAACUGACUAUGUGAACUGUGCAUCUUUCCAGGACUCUGCCAGGGGUUCUGGUUUGGGCUACAAGUUGAUGUUGAAUUGUGGCGUAGUCUAUGUUGUUUGUAUUGUUUCAA